rnacentral:tRNA from 1 species
GCCGCGGUAGCUCAGUGGUAGAGCGAAGGCCUGAAGAGCCUUGCGUCGGGGGUCCAAUUCCCUCCCGCGGCA